rnacentral:rRNA from 1 species
CCUACGGGAGGCAGCAGUGAGGAAUAUUGGUCAAUGGACGAGAGUCUGAACCAGCCAAGUAGCGUGAAGGAUGACUGCCCUAUGGGUUGUAAACUUCUUUUAUAUGGGAAUAAAAUGUUCCACGUGUGGGUUUUUGUAUGUACUAUAUGAAUAAGGAUCGGCUAACUCCGUGCCAGCAGCCGCGGUAAUACGGAGGAUCCGAGCGUUAUCCGGAUUUAUUGGGUUUAAAGGGAGCGUAGGUGGGUUGUUAAGUCAGUGGUGAAAGUGUGCGGCUCAACCGGAAAAUUGCCGUUGAAACUGGCAGUCUUGAAUGCAGUAGAGGUGGGCGGAAUUCGUGGUGUAGCGGUGAAAUGCUUAGAUAUCACGAAGAACUCCGAUUGCGAAGGCAGCUCACUGGACUGCAACUGACACUGAGGCUCGAAAGUGUGGGUAUCAAACAGGAUUAGAUACCCGGGUAGUC